AACGAACGCUGGCGGCAGGCUUAACACAUGCAAGUCGAACGCCCCGCAAGGGGAGUGGCAGACGGGUGAGUAACGCGUGGGAACGUGCCCUUCGCUUCGGAAUAGCCCCGGGAAACUGGGAGUAAUACCGAAUACGCCGUAUUGGGAAAGAUUUAUCGGCGAAGGAUCGGCCCGCGUUAGAUUAGCUAGUUGGCGGUGUAAUGGACCACCAAGGCUACGAUCUAUAGCUGGUCUGAGAGGAUGAUCAGCCACACUGGGACUGAGACACGGCCCAGACUCCUACUGGAGGCAGCAGUGGGGAAUCUUGGACAAUGUGCGCAAGCCUGAUCCAGCCAUGCCGCGUGAGUGAAGAAGGCCUUAGGGUUGUAAAACUCUUUCGCCGGAGAAGAUAAUGACGGUAUCCGGAGAAGAAGCCCCGGCUAACUUCGUGCCAGCCGCCGCCGUAAAAC
rnacentral:rRNA from 1 species